rnacentral:rRNA from 1 species
GAGGAAUAUUGGUCAAUGGGCGAGAGCCCGAACCAGCCAAGUAGCGUGCAGGAUGACGGCCCUAUGGGUUGUAAACUGCUUUUGUAUGGGGAUAAAGUCAGUCACGUGUGAUUGUUUGCAGGUACCAUACGAAUAAGGACCGGCUAAUUCCGUGCCAGCAGCCGCGGUAAUACGGAAGGUCCGGGCGUUAUCCGGAUUUAUUGGGUUUAAAGGGAGCGUAGGCUGGAGAUUAAGUGUGUUGUGAAAUGUAGACGCUCAACGUCUGACUUGCAGCGCAUACUGGUUUCCUUGAGUACGCACAACGUUGGCGGAAUUCGUCGUGUAGCGGUGAAAUGCUUAGAUAUGACGAAGAACUCCGAUUGCGAAGGCAGCUGACGGGAGCGCAACUGACGCUGAAGCUCGAAGGUGCGGGUAUCGAACAGGAUUAGAUACCCUGGUAGUCCGCACAGUAAACGAUGGAUGCCCGCUGUUGGUACCUGGUAUCAGCGGCUAAGCGAAAGCAUUAAGCAUCCCACCUGGGGAGUACGCCGGCAACGGUG